UUCGACCUGAGCUCAGGCAAGACUACCCGCUGAACUUAAGCAUAUCAAUAAGCGGAGGAAAAGAAACUAACUAGGAUGCCCUUAGUAACGGCGAGCGAACCGGGCAAAGCCCAACUUGAAAAUCUCCAGCCUCCGGCUGGCGA
rnacentral:rRNA from 2 species